rnacentral:rRNA from 1 species
UACGUAGUGGGCAAGCGUUGUCCGGAAUCAUUGGGCGUAAAGCGCGUGUAGGCGGUUCGGUAAGUCUGCUGUGAAAGUCCAGGGCUCAACCCUGGGAUGCCGGUGGAUACUGUCGAACUAGAGUACGGAAGAGGCGAGUGGAAUUCCCGGUGUAGCGGUGAAAUGCGCAGAUAUCGGGAGGAACACCAAUUGCGAAGGCAGCUCGCUGGGACGUCACUGACGUUGAGACGCGAAAGCGUGGGGAGCAAACAGG